UCACCACUCAAGCCUCGCUUGGUAUUGGGCGUCGCGAGUCUCUCGCGCGCCUCAAAGUCUCCGGCUGUUUGACCCGUCUCCCAGCGUUGUGGCAACUAUUUCGCAGUGGAGUUCGAGUUGGAUCGGCCGUUAAAUCUUUCAAAGG
rnacentral:misc_RNA from 1 species